rnacentral:rRNA from 1 species
UACGGAGGGUGCGAGCGUUGUCCGGAAUCACUGGGCUUAAAGGGCGCGUAGGCGGGCGAGCAAGUCCGGGGUGAAAGCCUCCGGCUUAACCGGAGAAGGGCCUUGGAUACUGCUCGUCUUGAGGGAGGUAGGGGCUUGUGGAACUUCCGGUGGAGCGGUGAAAUGCGUUGAUAUCGGAAGGAACGCCGGUAGCGAAAGCGACAAGCUGGCCCUCUUCUGACGCUGAGGCGCGAAAGCUAGGGGAGCAAACGGG